rnacentral:lncRNA from 1 species
UUUCACCCAUAAUUCUUUUUUCCUUCUUCUCUCUUCUCUCUCUCUUCACUCUCUCUACGCCGCCCCAGCCCCGCCCACGGCCGCCGGUCGGAAAUCGCUGCCGCCGGUGGACCACCUCCAAAUCACACCAUGUAAUCUCCACAACUUCCUCUUUCCAUAUCUCCAAACCAAAUCCUUCAAAAAUCCCUUAAACUCUUUGAAUCUUAGAUUUAGGAAACUUUCCCAUCAUUUUUUUGCCCAAAUUCUUGAAGCUCCAACCACUACCGCCCCACAAUACCUACAUCAAUGGAUAGAGCUCCUCAAGACCUAGCUAUUGAUGCCAAUUUCACCCUGAAAAUCCGGCGACCAAAAUCCGGCGACCUUCCCGAACACCCUCUUUGGGCAUACCACUAUUUUUCGGCCACUUGAAUUAUAAAAUGGUAAAAAUCCUAUUUUUUUUCGUGGCUGUUUUUUUUUUCAAAUUUAUUUUUGUCUAUUAUUAAUUAUUUUAGCAUUAGUUUUUGAAGUUUGAAAUGUUAAAUUUUCUGUUUUUGCACUUGUUGAAGUAGUAAAAUAGUUUGUGUUGAUAGAAGUGAGGUAGUGAAAAAUACUUAAGAGUAUAUGAUACUUGUUUGGUUGUUUAUUUACUGCUUCAAGACUCUUUGAGUAUAACACUCAAAAGUCAAAUUGUUUGGUAAGAAAAUGUAGACCUUUGGACAGUGUUUGAAUAAAAGUUUGUCUUUGAAUAGUGGAGAGCAUAUUUUGUUUGAAAUACUUGACAAAAUUUGAACCAGAAAGUCUGGCCUUUUGAAUUUAAGAGCAGAUUUUGUAGAAAAAUCUGUCAAAAAGAUUGAUUUUUAAUUUUUUGAAAUAGCUGAUUGUUUUGAUAUAUAGGGGGGACUCCAUCACAUUUCUAGAGAGCAUUUUAUUUUUGCUUUGAACAUACAAAAACAAAAAGAAAAAAUUCAACAACUGAAGCAUCCUUUAGUAAGUUGAAAUUGUAAGUCUUAAGAGUGAAUCUUAGAGUGCAAACUUUUUAGAAAAGUAUAAAUCCUCUUUAGAGUUCGUUUCUGGGUUUCUUCUCUGAUUUUUCGGGCUGUUUUAACACGAUUUUGCUGUUGGUUUUGUGGCUGUUGUGCUGCUGUUUUUAUGCUGCUUUAAUUGUUGAACUACUGUUUAUUCUUUUGCUUUCAAGGUAAUCCUUUAAGACUCGUAAUGUAUAUAUUUUCAGCAAUGAGAACAACUUGAACAUGCUGCACCAUUUAAAUGUGUUUGAUGUGAUGAACAAUUUGACAACAAAAGAGUUUGUAUGUUAUUGUUAUGUAUCAAACAUGUGAUAAUGUGAAUAUAGUCCUUCAUAAUACUUGAAUAUUGAGUCACAAGUUUUUGAAUGUGAUAUGUAAGUAGUUUAUGGAUUUUAAGCAUGUUUUCAAGCUAUUGUAUCCGAGUAACAAUGUUAAGUAUGCCAUGAAUGACUUUAGGUUUAUAACACAUAGCAUGAGUUCAUUUUAGUUGCUGAAAUUUCACUGCCA